UCCACAAGCUGAGACCGAUUUCUCUGAGCCGUCAUGCCCCGAGUCGUCAUUUUCAUCAGUAAAAUCAGAAAGUUCAGAUUCCACAGUGAUUCCGCGAUCUUCAAAGGCACUGAUACAUGAUCCAGACAAAUCUUCACUCAUCCUUGAUUACUUUCCCCGAUUUUUGGAUACACCAGGCUUGAUUGACCAAGACUUUACUAUGCUUUUUGGAGAGGACAUUUCAAGCAAGUUUAUUGCAAAAUGGCCAACAUUCUACAAGCCAAGAAUAAUUGCUGACUGCAAAAACCUGCAUCAUGGUGCACAUGUGGAUGACCUUUUGUCUGCUCUGUAGGAGUCUGAUUAUGGAUGGGACAGUGAUGUGGCUGCUGUUCUC